rnacentral:lncRNA from 1 species
CUCUUUUCCUUUUAUUGUCACUGACUUUUACCUAUUGUGUCUUUUAGUUUUAUUCAGUUUAAUGAAAUUUAAUGCAACUUGCAUACAAAUGAAAUAUGCAGCUAGCUGUAAAACUAGGUUUAUUCAUUUAUACAAAAUGUCCUUUUUUUUUUUUUUUUUUUUUUUUUUUUUUUUUAAAGUUUUCCCAUUUACUGUAAAUCUUGGCCAGGGUGCCGCAAUUUCACCGUGCGCAACGUCCCAGUGUGUCCA